rnacentral:tRNA from 1 species
UCCCUGCUGGCUCAGAUGGUAAAGCAUCUGCCUGUAAUGCAGGAGACCUGGGUUCGAUCCCUGGGUUGGGAA